GUAGGUGGCAAGCGUUGUCCGGAAUUAUUGGGCGUAAAGCGCGCGCAGGCGGUCCUUUAAGUCUGAUGUGAAAGCCCACGGGCUCAACCGUGGAGGGUCAUUGGAAACUGGAGAACUUGAGUACAGAAGAGGAAAGCGGAAUUCCACGUGUAGCGGUGAAAUGCGUAGAGAUGUGGAGGAACACCAGUGGCGAAGGCGGCUUUCUGGUCUGUAACUGACGCUGACGCGCGAAAGCGUGGGGAGCAAACAGGAUUAGAUACCCUGGUAGUCCACGCCGUAAACGAUGAGUGCUAAGUGUUAGGGGGUUUCCGCCCCUUAGUGCUGCAGCUAACGCAUUAAGCACUCCGCCUGGGGAGUACGGCCGCAAGGCUG
rnacentral:rRNA from 1 species